rnacentral:lncRNA from 1 species
UGUUAAAAGUUUUGCAUCGUGAAGAUAGAAAGUCCCACACUCCCACUCCCAGCGAGUCGUCUGACCAUGUGUCCUGAUCCUGAAAGUGCUGUCGUUGCUGUCCGUAUGAAGAAAUGUCGUCUCGUACUAGAAAGUAGAAACUUGAAUGGAAUGGUAACAUUAACAGUUCCUUCAAUUUAUGUUUGGCAAUUCCAUCUGAUCAUGCGACUUGCCUUCCCAAAAUGUCGUCUCUUGCUGUAUGUUGCAUGGUUCGUCAAAAGAUGAGUUUUUUUCUCGCCAUUCGUCUAAGCUGAACCGAUAGUGAACCAAGUUUAAGC